rnacentral:lncRNA from 1 species
CUGUUCAGUGGAAGUAUCUGAUGGUCCUAAAGACAGCUCCACUGAUUCUGAAACAAGUGUUUGCAAUGGAGAGAAGCAAGCAGAUUGUAGCAGUCCACCUCAAAAGGAUGGCACUGAAAUUGAGUCUACCUCAGAGAGCAUCCCAAAUUCUCAGCAUGAAGCAGAUUGUAGCAGUCCACCUCAAAAGGAUGGCACUGAAAUUGAGUCUACCUCAGAGAGCAUCCCUAAUUCUCAGCAUGAAGAAGAAGAACCCAGUGCUCUGCAUUUUCAAGAUUUGCAAGAGGUUGAUGUCAAAAUUGUGACCUCAAAGGAUCAAGCAAC